rnacentral:piRNA from 1 species
UGGGCCUGGCCCAGAAUCUGAUUGGGGCUUC